CUUCAUCUGAAGUUAAUGUUUUGAUGCCUGUGUUAAAUAAGUUGUAUUAUACUACAUCUUACUAAGCUGUUUUUAACAAGCUGUCUUCUACUAUGUUAUUUGAAGAAGUAAAUGUUUAUUGUUUUCUAAUAAGCACAACUGCGAAUUGUUGGUAUAGUUGUUACCUAGUUCGCUAGCAUUGCUACAGAGAACCUACACUAACAACUGCUGGCUACACAAGGACCUCUGGACCAGGUGUUCUUCAGGGCUUUAACAUUUUUCACCAUUCUCCUGUGACUCUUCAAUAGCCAGUCACCGCCAACUGAAGUACCACUAAAGGGGAAAUAAAGGGAGGAGUUCAGCACUCACUGCGCUGGUGACUGACAGGAAGCGGUCAUAGCUGAUGAGGACGAUGCUGAAGACUGAUGCGGAGCAAAGCAGUGUGUGCAGAAGCCAAAGCACGGCCCCAGCCACCCAGAGAGCUCAACCCAAAACAGCAAGUGUGGCGCCCAGGGAACAAGGGACCACUGGCCCCACGCAGCCAGAUACUCCCUACAGCCGGACGGGAAGACCGCCCCCUGCCCCACCAGCAACCGGGCCUAAACCCCACCGCACGGAGAGUUCGGCGGGGCUCGCCCAAGGCUGCCUCAUUUAAGUUGACCGCCACAGGACCGCCCAGCAUGGGGCCACGGGAACCACCCACCCCACCUGCAGGGAUCCCAAUGAUGGAGAUGGUACAUCCAGCAACUGCCCUGGCGGAUCCUACCCCUGAGGGAAGAAUUAUUUUUUUUUAAAAACACGCUGACACACAAGGUCAAUACCCGAGCAACUGGCCGACUUGUAAGACUCAGAGCUUUUGUCUACAUCAUGCUCUUAAACUGAAGACAACUGAUAAAAACUAUACAGUGUAAAUUUAUAGUGUAAUGCAGUGGUUCUUAACCUUGUUGGAGGUACCGAACCCCACCAGUUUCAUAUGCGCAUUCACCGAACCCUUAAUUAGUGAAAAAUAAAAUGUGUUUUUUUUUUUCAAAUUCAAGACAAAGUUAUAUGUUUUUGGUAACACUUUAGUAUGGGGAACAUAUUCUAAGUAACAAAGACUUAAUUUACAGUUAUUUGGACACUAGGGGAACCUAUUCUAAGUAAUAAAGACUUAAUUUAGAGUUAUUUGGUUAGGGUUAGGGUCAGGGUUAGAGGGUUAGGGUUAUAAUAAGGCCAUGCCGAAUAAGGCAUUAAUAAGUACUUAAUAAUGACUAGUUAAGAGCCAAUAUGUUACUAAUUUGCACGUUAAUAAGCAACUAAUUAAUGGUGAAUAUGUUCCCCAUACUAAAGUGUUACCAUGUUUUUUUUACUGGUACAUAAAAUGAACCAUGCAUGAACAUCACCUUGUUCAAACAACAAAACCAACACAGUGCAUAAACUCACAACAAAUUACACACCUGCAAAUCAGUCAGCUGUUGCCGUAUCCGUAAUACGCCGAUAGAGAGAAGUUUUUAUUUACACGAUGAGUCGGGUGUGUUUUGACCUCCGCCGAACCCCUGAGGCCGACUCACCGAACCCCUAGGGUUCGAUCGAACCCAGGUUAAGAACCACUGGUGUAAUGUAAUCAUAAUAUAUAAUAAUAAUACAAGUGACCAUUUAUAAAAGGAUAUACACUUUUAUUUAUCAUAACUGUAGAAUUGUUUACCAUUAUACUGUAAUUGGAAGGUAAAUAACUUUGAUAUCCUAAAUAACGAAACAAACAACAAAAUAAAUGGACUCAUUUCUGUAAGCAAACAUUUAAUUUAAAUAAAUAUUAAAAAUAUUAGUGCUUUUUUUUUCCAGUUGAAAAAAACGAGGUCAGACGUUGACUUUUUGUUUUAUUGCCAUCAUGUGAUCACGGGAUUCUCGCUCGUUCGUCCGUGUUGAUGGGCUCAUAUCCCCCAUCCAAUUUGAAGCUAAAAUAUUACCACAACGGAACAUGUUGCUUUUGUAAUUAUAUUGUUUUCCUCUUAAUUGUUGUUACUUUGUGGCACUUCUCACCAGCGAGUCAGGAAUAGGGAAGCUGUCUGUGCUUCUUGUGUGUGUAAAGCUGGCGCCCUGCUCUCCGCCCACUGAGACAAAGAUCGUGAAUGACUGAAAAGAGGAGUCACUGUGUUAAUUUUACUGUUUAAUAAAAGUGCUCAGGUGCUGAAGUAGAUGCGUCUUUCUUCCAGUUUGAAGCGAGUGACGAACAAUUGCAAGGUUCAACAAUCUGAUUGCCGGUAACAGCGGAGAAAUUAAAACUCAGUCUUUUGCGGUUAUUCAUCGCUCUAAUUAAAACCUGGAUGUCGAUUCGAUGUCGAUUAAUCGUGCAGCCCUAUUAGACGAUUUGCCUCUGCGGUGAAUAGUCGAAUCAGACUCUUGCGAAUCGAAUCGUCGAAUAUCAGACUAUUUGAAGACAGCCCUAAAAAAAGAUUUGUGUUUUUCAUACCUACCAUUGUUCUCUCUGUUGUAGUCCCUGCAGUGGUUAUCGCAUUUUCCGGACCAUAGGGCGCACCAGAUUAUAAGGCGCACUGCCGAUGAGCGGGUCUAGUCAGGUCUAUUUUCGUACAAAAGGCACACCGGAUUAUAGGGCGCAUUAAAGGGGUCAUAUUAUUAUUAUUUUUUUCUAAAUUGAAAACACUUUCCUGUGGUCAACAUAACAUGUGAUGGUGGUUCUUUGGUCAAAAUGUUGCAUAGAUUAUGUUUUACAGAUCAUCUUCAAGCCGCUUUUUGUCAGUCGCUUCAGGAUUCGCCAUUUUAUGGGCGGUCUUAUUUACGUGGCUCACCUUCGACAGCGUCUUUUCUCCGUCAUCUUUGUUGUAGCGGUGUAGCGUGCAAGGACGGGAAUGGAAGAA